GACGAACGCUGGCGGCGCGCUUAACACAUGCAAGUCGAGCGAAGCGGCGGACGGGUGAGUAACACGUGAGUAACCUGCCUUAGCCAUUGGGAUAGCCUUCUGAAACCGGGAUUAAUACCAAAUGGUCUAAGAGGGACUCGCGUCCCAUUAGCUAGGUGGUGAGGUAACGGCCCACCAAGGCGACGCUGGGUACCCGGCCUGAGAGGGUGGACGGGCACAUUGGGGCUGAGAGACGUGCCAAACUCUACGGGAGGCAGCAGGGGGGAAGAUUGCACAAUGGAGGGAACUCUAAUGCAGCGGCGCCGCGUGAACGAAGAAGGCUUUCGAGUCGUAAAGUUCGUUUAUAUGGGAAGCGGUACCAGAAGAAAAAGCCCCGGCUAACUACGUGCCAGCAGCCGCGGUAAUAC
rnacentral:rRNA from 1 species